GCCCAAUGAUGAGACCAAGGCGAAUGCGAGCUCGUUGGGUAAGAGUCUGAGUUCUUCUGUGCUCCUAUUGGCGGGUAAUCUUGGCUGGGCAGGGGAGAUUUGCUGCUUUGCUGUAAGGGCCUGCCUACAUUAAACAAGUUCUUCCUAUCAAGAUUUCCCUCAAAGAAAUGCAGGAGAAAUUUGGGAAGGAUGAUCAUAGUGUGUGUGUGUGUGGUAGUGUGAGCUAUGAGCUAGUUCUUUUGUAAUCUGAGGGCA
rnacentral:snoRNA from 1 species